rnacentral:rRNA from 1 species
UCGAAAGGGAAACAGCCCAGACCACCAGCUAAGGUCCCAAAAUAUAUGUUAAGUGGAAAAGGAUGUGGCGUUGCCCAGACAACUAGGAUGUUGGCUUAGAAGCAGCCAUCAUUUAAAGAGUGCGUAAUAGCUCACUAGUCGAGUGACACUGCGCCGAAAAUGUACCGGGGCUAAACAUAUUACCGAAGCUGUGGAUUGUCCUUUGGACAAUGGUAGGAGAGCGUUCUAAGGGCGUCGAAGCAUGAUCGCAAGGACAUGUGGAGCGCUUAGAAGUGAGAAUGCCGGUGUGAGUAGCGAAAGACGGGUGAGAAUCCCGUCCACCGAUUGACUAAGGUUUCCAGAGGAAGGCUCGUCCGCUCUGGGUUAGUCGGGUCCUAAGCUGAGGCCGACAGGCGUAGGCGAUGGAUAACAGGUUGAUAUUCCUGUACCACCUAGUAUCGUUUUAAUCGAUGGGGGGACGCAGUAGGAUAGGCGAAGCGUGCUGUUGGAGUGCACGUCCAAGCAGUAAGGCUGAGUGUUAGGCAAAUCCGGCACUCAUAAGGCUGAGCUGUGAUGGGGAGAGGAAAUUGUUUCCUCGAGUCGUUGAUUUCACACUGCCGAGAAAAGCCUCUAGAUAGAUAACAGGUGCCCGUACCGCAAACCGACACAGGUAGUCAAGAUGAGAAUUCUAAGGUGAGCGAGCGAACUCUCGUUAAGGAACUCGGCAAAAUGACCCCGUAACUUCGGGAGAAGGGGUGCUCUUUAGGGUUCACGCCCAGAAGAGCCGCAGUGAAUAGGCCCAAGCGACUGUUUAUCAAAAACACAGGUCUCUGCUAAACCGUAAGGUGAUGUAUAGGGGCUGACGCCUGCCCGGUGCUGGAAGGUUAAGAGGAGUGGUUAGCUUCUGCGAAGCUACGAAUCGAAGCCCCAGUAAACGGCGGCCGUAACUAUAACGGUCCUAAGGUAGCGAAAUUCCUUGUCGGGUAAGUUCCGACCCGCACGAAAGGCGUAACGAUUUGGGCACUGUCUCAACGAGAGACUCGGUGAAAUCAUAGUACCUGUGAAGAUGCAGGUUACCCGCGACAGGACGGAAAGACCCCGUGGAGCUUUACUGUAGCCUGAUAUUGAAAUUCGGCACAGCUUGUACAGGAUAGGUAGGAGCCUUUGAAACGUGAGCGCUAGCUUACGUGGAGGCGUUGGUGGGAUACUACCCUAGCUGUGUUGGCUUUCUAACCCGCACCACUUAUCGUGGUGGGAGACAGUGUCAGGCGGGCAGUUUGACUGGGGCGGUCGCCUCCUAAAAGGUAACGGAGGCGCUCAAAGGUUCCCUCAGAAUGGUUGGAAAUCAUUCAUAGAGUGUAAAGGCAUAAGGGAGCUUGACUGCGAGACCUACAAGUCGAGCAGGGUCGAAAGACGGACUUAGUGAUCCGGUGGUUCCGCAUGGAAGGGCCAUCGCUCAACGGAUAAAAGCUACCCCGGGGAUAACAGGCUUAUCUCCCCCAAGAGUUCACAUCGACGGGGAGGUUUGGCACCUCGAUGUCGGCUCAUCGCAUCCUGGGGCUGUAGUCGGUCCCAAGGGUUGGGCUGUUCGCCCAUUAAAGCGGUACGCGAGCUGGGUUCAGAACGUCGUGAGACAGUUCGGUCCCUAUCCGUCGUGGGCGUAGGAAAUUUGAGAGGAGCUGUCCUUAGUACGAGAGGACCGGGAUGGACAUACCUCUGGUGUACCAGUUGUCGUGCCAACGGCAUAGCUGGGUAGCUAUGUAUGGACGGGAUAAGUGCUGAAAGCAUCUAAGCAUGAAGCCCCCCUCAAGAUGAGAUUUCCCAACUUCGGUUAUAAGAUCCCUCGAAGAUGACGAGGUUAAUAGGUUCGAGGUGGAAGCGUGGUGACACGUGGAGCUGACGAAUACUAAUCGAUCGAAGACUUAAUCAA